CGGAGUGAACUUGUUUUUUACCUUUUCAUCGAGUUUUUGUUUCACUUGUUUUUCGCUGUUUUUGUUUGUGUUUUUCAACUGCUUUGAGGCAUUUUGAUUUCACCUGAUUUAACGAAAGUAACAAGUUAUCAUUCUGUUUAUUUGACUCAUCAUUAUAAUCAUUAUCGUCCUCAUAUACCAUGAUCAUCAUGUCUUUACAUCUUAUAGACAACAAUAAUGGUUCCCAAAAAAAGUUAAAUUUAAAAUAUCAACUAAUGGUUGACUCAAAAAUAUACUGAAGAUAUCUUACUGAGCUGCCCUUAAAAAUCAUUUACAGGAUAUUUUGAUGCUUGUUUGUGGUCAUAACCAGGGAAGAAAAAGAUCUGUUACCAUUGGAGAACUCGAUGGCAUGGAACGUCAUGGAAGGCCUCAAUAUAUUUAAAUAAUAGUAAUAUAUGAUUUAGAUUGAGAGUUGUCUUCCUAUUGAUAUGAUUUUGCGAGAUAAAUCAAGUAAAUGAUAGGGAAGCUCAUUUUCGCUCAAGAUGGUGAUAAUAACAACAUAAACCAAUGGACCAUUAAAAUAAAGUUGACCAAAGUAGUGAUGGCUAUAAUGGAGACAGCUUUAAUAGAGUUGUGUCAAGUCAACCUUAACUCUCAGGUCAUUUGAUGAGAUUUAAAAAAGGAAAAAGUUAACUGAGGCAAAUUUUCAACCAUUAUCAAGUUGAUCAUCAAUAUUAUUAUCAUUAUCAAUCAGUUGACUAUUAUAAAGUUGCUUCCAAACCUGGUAAAGUGAUAUUUAUGAGUCAAACAUAUCGAAAAAGUAUAUUUACUUUUUUUUAUAUAAAGUUAACAGUUUACCUAUUUUUGAGCAACUUGAAAAACCAUUUAUCUAUUAAUUUAAGUUGUCAGUUUUUCAAUUUUCUAGUUACAUUGACUCUUUUGGAAGAUCAUUUGGUUUCAUCUAUACCAAUAUCAUCCUCUCACUCUCUUGGAUCCAGAUUAAUAUCAUCAUCACCAUUCAUUUCAUCUCUUCUAUUAUCCACUAUAAAGCUUGAUAAUCUCAAGAGAAAGGUUAUAUCAUCAUCACCUGAAUCAAAGUAAGGAUGGAAGUUGCUGUUAACAUUUGGUUUUAAUGAUCAAAAAGUAAAUUUUAAAGUCUACUAAAACUGGUUAACUUGGCAAAUUUGUUAGGCUUAAAGUGAAUUACCAUCAAAGUGACAUAACCAUUAUUACCCGAUACUCAAUCCAGUUUAGAUGAGUAAUAAUAAUUAUGAUCAAAUCAUCAUUUCAUCGGUUAACUACAACAUUAAAGAUAAGGGCCCAUACCUUAUUCCGUCAUUCAAAUUGAAACACUAAGUUCCAAAGUUGGACUGAACUAUGGACAAGUAUAUAAGAAUCAACCAAGGGUUUGGAUGGUCAAUAUGGAUUUGGAACGGACAUUCGAAUCUUAUUUCCAACUGUCAAAGUGGAUUGCACGAAUCGACAAAAGGUCGUUCUGGGCAAAUAUAAGCCACAAAUUUAUGUUUCCAUGGAUGUUAACCAAAGAAGAUUUUUACUCCAUUAUCCACUCCACUACAGAUAUUUUUGGAUUUGUUUGAUCAAUUAUCAUUUUUUGACUCAAUCAUGCAAAAUUUGCUUGGAUUCCAAUAUUAUUGAAUUGCAGGCAAUACAUUCCACUGAAACUCGUUAACCUUACCUGCUAAAUCAAAGUUAACUUUGUACUUUUGGUUUUGUUUUAAAUUGCGUUAACUUUUCCCUUUCUUUGCCAUGAUUACAAAUUCAUGAGAUGAGAAAUUUUAUCAACAGCCUGCUGUGAUUAUAUUCAGAUUGUUCAUAAUUUAGUUACAUAUGAAGGCAAACAAAUAAUGAAAAUUACAAUAAUCAGUAAAUAAUCAAUUGUGAUUGAAGGUAAAAAAAACAAAAUCAACUUCCUUCACACAUGAAAAUAAUGCAACACACAAGGAAAGAUCUCACUUGAAUCCCAAUCAAAUCCUUCAAAUCAAAUGCUAAUCAAAUGUUAACCUUUUCUGAAUGAAAACUAUUAUCACAAAGUUAACACUCUGGAUUCAUUGAAAUUACCUGUAAAUACAAUUGUAAACAUAAUUUUCACCAUCAGCCUAACCUUUUAAUAAUAAUCAUCGUUACAUUCACCUUA